rnacentral:rRNA from 1 species
GACGAACGCUGGCGGCGUGCCUAAUACAUGCCAGUCGAACGCACAGUUUAUACCUUAGCUUGCUACACCAUAGACUGUGAGUUGCGAACGGGUGAGUAACGCGUAGGUAACCUGCCUGGUAUCGGGGGAUAACUAUUGGAAACGAUAGCUAAUACCUCAUAAUAUUAAUUAUUGCAUGAUAAUUAAUUGAAAGGUGCAAUUGCACCACUACCAGAUGGACCUGCGUUGUAUUAGCUAGUAGGUGAGGUAACGGCUCACCUAGGCGACGAUACAUAGCCGACCUGAGAGGGUGGACGGCCAACCUGGGACCGAGGCACGGCCCAGAAUCCUACGGGAGGCAGCCGUAGGGAAUUCUUGGCAAAGGAGGAAAGUCUGGACGAGCAAAGCCGGGGGAGUGAAGAAGGUUUUCGGAUCGGAAAGAUCUGUUGUAAGAGAAGAACGGGUGUGAGAGUGAAAAGUUCACACUGUGACGGUACCUUACCAGAAAGGGACGGCUAACUACGUG